GACGAACGCUGGCGGCGUGCUUAACACAUGCGAGUCGAACGGUGAAGCGCCUUCCUUUUUGGUGGGUGUGGAUGAGUGGCGAACGGGUGAGUAACACGUGAGUAACCUGCCCCCUUCUUCUGGAUAACCGCAUGAAAGUGUGGCUAAUACGGGAUAUUCUGGGUCUGUCGCAUGAUGGGUCUGGGAAAGAUAUUGUUUCGGUGGGGGAUGGGCUCGCGGCCUAUCAGCUUGUUGGUGGGGUGAUGGCCUACCAAGGCGGUGACGGGUAGCCGGCCUGGGAGGGUGGACGGCCACACUGGGACUGCGGCACGGCCCAGACUGCUACGGGAGGCAGCAGUGGGGAAUAUUGCACAAUGGGCGCAAGCCUGAUGCAGCGACGCCGCGUGAGGGAUGGAGGCCUUCGGGUUGUGAACCUCUUUCGCCAGUGAAGCAGGCCUGCCUCGUUUGUGGGUGGGUUGACGGUAGCUGGAUAAGAAGCGCCGGCUAACUACGUG
rnacentral:rRNA from 1 species